GUCACUUCAGGACUUUUUGACUAAGAUCAUGUGUAGAAUCUGUUUUUAUCAGUUUAACAUUUGAUAUAUCCAAAUAAAUCUCAUCACAUUUAUCCUAUUUUUGUGAAGAAUACUAC
rnacentral:snRNA from 1 species